rnacentral:rRNA from 1 species
GUGCCAGCAGCCGCGGUAAUACGAGAGGUGCAAGCGUUAUUCGGAAUUAUUGGGCGUAAAGGGUGCGUAGGCGGUAUGAUAAGUCUGUUGUUAAAUAUCCUGGCUCAACCAGGAAAAUGCGAUGGAAACUAUCGUUCUAGAGGGUGAGAGAGAGAAGUGGAAUUCCAGGAGUUAGCGGUCAAAUGCGUAGAUCUCUGGAGGAACACCGAUGGCGAAGGCAGCUUCUUGGCUCAUUUCUGACGCUGAGGCACGAAAGCGUGGGGAGCAAACAGGAUUAGAUACCCUCGUAGUCC